GAUGAACGCUGGCGGCGUGCCUAAUACAUGCAAGUCGAGCGAACAGACGAGGAGCUUGCUCCUCUGACGUUAGCGGCGGACGGGUGAGUAACACGUGGAUAACCUACCUAUAAGACUGGGAUAACUUCGGGAAACCGGAGCUAAUACCGGAUAAUAUAUUGAACCGCAUGGUUCAAUAGUGAAAGACGGUUUUGCUGUCACUUAUAGAUGGAUCCGCGCCGCAUUAGCUAGUUGGUAAGGUAACGGCUUACCAAGGCAACGAUGCGUAGCCGACCUGAGAGGGGGGCGGGCCCCCCGGGAUGGGAGAAAGGCACCGAACACCAACGGAGGGCAGCAGGAGGUAAGCUACCGAAAGGGGCGGAAGCGUGACGGAGCCAGCCCGCGGGGGUGAAGAAGGUCUGCGGAUCGUAAAACUCUGUUAUUUGGGAAAAAAAAAUGUGUAAGUAACGAAGCCCGUCUUGACGGUACCUAAGCAGAAAGCCCCGGUUAACCACGG
rnacentral:rRNA from 1 species